GUACACAACAGUAGACUCUUUCUGGCUGUGUCUGUAGCCAUUAAGGGGGGACAGCUUGUGUGACAUUAACGGUGCGUGUGGAAAAACCAUCAGGUAUCCUUAUCUGUUGGACUUCUGCAGCACAAACACUU